rnacentral:lncRNA from 1 species
CCCCCAAUUCUGCAGACACCUCUGAUGCAAGAAUUAACUUAUUAAAAUGAAUGAAAACAGCCGAAAAGAAAUUAUGGAUCAGGAAAGGUGUUCAUCAUCAUUGAGCCUAUCUGGAAAUGAUUCGUGGAUGAAUGUGAAAGUAAUUUUUAUUCCUUUAGACAGAGUUUAUUUUAUCACAAUACCUGUCCUCGAAAAAGAAACAGAAAAAAGGCUUGAAAUUAUCUGGUGGUUUGCUAAAUCCCAUCUACUAUUUAGCUCUUAAGUACUGCCAGACGAUCAUUCUCCCACUAUUUCUCCACAAUGUUUAAAAAAGAAUCAGAUUAAUAAAUAUAUUUUACAAUAUUUGAAUCUUACUACUUACAUAGUAUUUCAUUCGAUAUUGUAUUAUAAUAUUUCUUAGUAGUGUUGAAUCUAUUCCAGGACUGAUUUCCUGAUCAGUUUCCCCCUCCCCUUCAGUUCUACGGUCUUAGUUAUCUUUCAUUUUCUUCACUCCUAGCUAAGAUUGAAGAAUAUAAAAACGAAGAAAAUAAUGAACAAUAACUAGAACAUAAUAAUAAGUUCUAGUCACUCACUUCCUCCUUUAAACUUCAGGUACCUUGUCUCUUUGACUUCAACAACUGAAAUGACAGAGCUAGUAACUAGGGCCUAUGGACUACUGAAUCAGGUACUUGAUUAGGGGAAGUGAAGGCGUUGUUUCUAUUAAUUUAUACAUAAUUCCUAACUUGAUGAUGACAGUCUUUUAUCUACAAGAAAUAUAUUAAUAUCCUUCCUUGAUAUCGAUUUUUAUCUUUCAAACAAUUGACCAUAACUUUCGAGAAUUUGAUGAAUUUGAUGUUCAUGCAUGGUGAUUGAGCUUUGUAUUGCAUAGUGGAAGUAUUCUACAUAAUUAUUUGUUCGAAUAUUUUCAUUUCAAAUUCAAAAUUAUACAAAUAUACCUAAAAUUCCAUUUGGUAUAAUAUUAUUGAAACAUAAAUAAACUUCAUCUCUUCCGUUUCCUGGAAGUAUUGUUUUUAAUAUUUCGAAUAUGACAUGAGGAAUUAUCUGGAGUUACGUUUACAGUAAAAUAGGAUGGGUUUAACUUAUAUAAAUGUAUCACGAGUGAAUUUUGGUGUAGCUUGUCAUUGCUCAAAAAGAUUAGAUGCAAAAAAGCAGAAAAUAUCUCAAAGUUAUUAAAAAAAAUAAAUUAUAGGAUUUUGGAGGAAAGAAAAUAUAAGUUACUGCUCCAUAGAGUAGAAUCUAUUAGUUCUAUUAAUUAAGAAUUAGAUAAUGCAAAAUUUACUAAAAUGCCUGCUAGCGUAUAUACCUUGACUUUAGGGAACAACUUGCAGCUCUUUCACCAAAAUAUGGUAAUGUCAAUGCAAAUUAAUUAUAAAAUGUUUAUUUAAUAAAUUGCUGAAAAUAUCAUCAACUACUAGAAACAAGGGGAAAAAAUAUUUUAUUUUAUGAACAAAACCAAAAUUUUGAACUUUUCACAGAAUUAUCAGAAAAUCUACACAGAAAAACCUACGAUUAGGUUAAUAUGUUGAAGCAAUGACCUUGAAAACUUGCAUAAGUUGUCUAUUAUAAUCUCCAUUCAAGUCUUGACACUUCUGUACUUGAAUAUUUUUCCAUUUCCCUUUGCAAAUUUUAAUCAAGUCAUAAUGACAGUAUUCUGUUUUCGUGUCAGGUAAGCUGAGACUGAUAUGACUGUGGUUUUUUUUAUCUGAGUCCUGCUGUUACGUCAAUUUACGUUCAAUUCCAAGUAAUUUUGUCAUAUGGCUCAAGAUCAGCAUCCAAUAUUUCCACAUUGACAUACUGUUUUAAUUAUUUUUUAUUAAUAAACUAAGGCACAAAACUGCUCGACAAGCUUAGUAUAGGUUAUGAUUUUGACAAGUGCAACUUCAGGAGUUUUGUUCACUGAGAACCCAGAUUCCAAUAAUUCCAAAGAGAGUUAGUCAUAGAAAUCAUUAAACAUUGCCAUCCCAGAACUUCUUGUCUCUCAUUCUCCAACUGCAAUCUAUUGGUGAUAGUUUAUACCAGUGUUUGUUUUUAGUUGGUGGUGAUGAGAAGUAUCUCGCCAGAUUCGGCUACUUUGAUGGGAUGACAUCAUUUUUCAACCGCUUGUAGAUUUAUAAUUUAAUUUUAUAACAUUAUUCAGAAUUAAUACUUGACGAGGAAUAUAUUUAAUAAAUUUAAUAGAACGAAAGUUUUACUUAAGUUCUGGAGAUACAUUGGCGAAUUAAGGAAAAAGCGAGCAUCUCAGUGAUACACAAACAAUAUUCAAUAUCCAUAGUAUUGGAGAGUAUUGCUUACUUUAGUGUAGUGAUUUUCCUUUAUUAAGGGAUUCAUCCACUGAUUCAGUUAUAAAAUCAGUAACUCUAAAAUUUAGACUGCAUAGUCUUGAAUUUUCUGUUGGUGUAGAAGUUCAUCGUUUCUUUCAACAUUACCAUAUGCUCUUUGGCCAUGUUUUUGGAGUAUUUUAUGGGAAAUUUGUGAAAGCUCAUACGGAUCCUUUUAAAUCCCCACUUGCAUACAGGAGCAGAACAAUUGCACACAAUGAUUAAUUAUUAAUUAAAUAAUAAGUAAACAAAUUAAUAUGAAAUGAAUCAACUAUUGUGAGCCACGUUUCCUUUAUUCCACAUUUGUAAUAAAACAUAGGAAGAAUGAUGGUCUUUGUGGAAAAAAAGGGAACUCAAUUUUAAGGCACACUUCCAGUUGUGUUUCCUUGCUUUAAAGUAAAAAUUAUUGUCUAUCUUUGGUUAUGCAUUUAAAAAAAAAUGCAUACUAAAAUUAAUAUACAUAUAUAUAAUUAUAAAAGGUUUCCUAGAAUAAUGUUCUUUUUAACGUAGAAGGUUGUCUACUUUUUAGCAUUAAUUCAUUUUCUUCCCAAAAUCAUAUAAAAAAUCUUCUCCCUAUACUUGAUUGUCUAAACUCAAUUAAUCCUUCGAAAAGACCUCCUGCUGAAUUUUAGAAUGAAACUCCUCUAAAACUCCUCAUGUGCCUCAUGCGACAUUGGGCUGCAAAGCCAUACAGUUCUUGUAAGAGUGAGUUGACUAGUAGAGUUGCAAGAAAUUUCCUUCUUUCUAAAUUAUAAAAUUAUUCUUGGCAGUGUUCAAAAAGUUUUGUUGAGCGACAAGUAGCAGAGAUGUCAAAGCAGGCCAUUCUCGGAAGAUUAUGAUACAUUAAACUUAUCAUUGGACAUAAUUUAUUAAUAAAAUAAGUAAACUCUAUCUAUAUAUUUAUUAAUACACAAAUUUAUUCUAGUUACUAGGUAGUACAUUUGUUUUAUUCUCUUGAAGGUAGAAAUAGUAACAAAACACUUCUUCUAGCGGACAAAGAAAGUAAAUUUUGACAGAUACCCUUUUCAGCUUUUAAUCACUUUUGUCCUUGUUUCGCUACUUGAUUUAAAGCUUGAGUUCCGUAACCUCUUUCUUGUUUUGUGUUAAUUAUUUAAGAGAUUGUCGUGGUGUUAUUUUUUCCAUUCUGAAGUAAGCAUUCCCAUAUAUCUUCUGUCUAAAUUGUUUAAAAAUAUAUAUAACAGGCAGUUGAUGUUAAAAGGUUGUUAAUUCAGUAGUACCUAAACACAUCUUUUACUACAGGAUUUGAACGCUAAAAACGAGCGUCUCAAUUUUACAAUAACUACGUGCUAUUCAUUUUCUUAUUAGUAGUUACUAUUAUAAUUUGUGUAUACCUAUUUUAUUAAUUAAUUAUCGUCAUUAUCCAUUCAAUGUUCAUAUACCAAAAUUUUGUUUGGAUUUAUUAAGUAUUAAUUUUAUUGUCGUAAAAUUCUUAGUUAGUAUUUUUUAAAUUCUAAUACUUUUUGCUUACAAUCAAGCAAACCAUAUUAUUUUAAUAUUAUAAUUUUAUGAGGAUGUUUUUUUAAAAAUAAGUUUUCGGGACAAAUAAUGAUUAAUAGAUGGAAAAGAGUAAUUCGUAGAAA